AAUGAACGCUGGCGGCAGGCCUAACACAUGCAAGUCGAGCGGACGAAGGGUGCUUGCGCCUGGAUUCAGCGUCGGACGGGUGAGUAAUACCUAGGAAUCACCCUGGUAGUGGGGGAUAACGUCCUGAAACGGGCGCUACUACUGCCUACGACCUGAGGGAGAAAGUGGGGGAUCUUCGGAACUCACGCUCUGAGAGGAACCUAGGUCGGUCUAGCUAGUUGGUGGGGUUAAGGCCUACCAAGGCGACGAUCCGUAACUAGUCUGAGUGGGUGAUCAGUCACAUGGGAGGUGAGACACGGUCCAUACUCCUACGGGAGGCAGCAGUGGGGUAUAGGGGACAAUGGGGGAAAGUCUGAUCCAGCGAUGCCGCGCGUGAGAAGAAGGUCUUCGGAUUGUGAUGCCCGUUAAGUGAUUGUGAAGGGCAGUAGGUUAAGACGUUGCUGUUUUGACGUUACUAACAGAAGAAGCACCGGCUAACUUCGUG
rnacentral:rRNA from 1 species